GUUAGUUGGAUCAUGGCUCAGAUUGCACGCUAGUUUGGAAGCCUUACACAUGCAAGUCGAACGGCAGCACGGACUUCGGUCUGGUGGCGAGUGGCGAACGGGUGAGUAAUGUAUCGGAACGUGCCCAGUAGCGGGGGAUAACUACGCGAAAGCGUAGCUAAUACCGCAUACGCCCUACGGGGGAAAGCAGGGGAUCGCAAGAACUUGCACUAUUGGAGCGGCCGAUAUCGGAUUAGCUAGUUGGUGGGGUAACGGCUCACCAAGGCGACGAUCCGUAGCUGGUUUGAGAGGACGACCAGCCACACUGGGACUGAGACACGGCCCAGACUCCUACGGGAGGCAGCAGUGGGGAAUUUUGGACAAUGGGGGAAACCCUGAUCCAGCCAUCCCGCGUGUGCGAUGAAGGCCUUCGGGUUGUAAAGCACUUUUGGCAGGAAAGAAACGUCAUGGGUUAAUACCCCGUGAAACUGACGGUACCUGCAGAAUAAGCACCGGCUAACUACGUGCCAGCAGCCGCGAGUAAUAACGUAAGGGGUGCCAAGCGUUUAUCGGAAUUACUGGGCGUAAAGACGUGCUCCAGGCGGGUCCGGAAAGAAACCAUGUUGAAAAUCCCAAAGCUUAACUUGGACCUGCUUUUUUACUAACCGGGUA
rnacentral:rRNA from 1 species